rnacentral:rRNA from 1 species
GACGAACGCUGGCGGCGUGCUUAACACAUGCAAGUCGAACGGAAGGGCCCUGCUUUUGUGGGGUGCUCGAGUGGCGAACGGGUGAGUAACACGUGAGUAACCUGCCCUUGACUUUGGGAUAACUUCAGGAAACUGGGGCUAAUACCGGAUAGGAGCUCCUGCUGCAUGGUGGGGGUUGGAAAGUUUCGGCGGUUGGGGAUGGACUCGCGGCUUAUCAGCUUGUUGGUGGGGUAGUGGCUUACCAAGGCUUUGACGGGUAGCCGGCCUGAGAGGGUGACCGGCCACAUUGGGACUGAGGUACGGCCCAGACUCCUACGGGAGGCAGCAGUGGGGAAUAUUGCACAAUGGGCGGAAGCCUGAUGCAGCAACGCCGCGUGCGGGAUGACGGCCUUCGGGUUGUAAACCGCUUUCGCCUGUGACGAAGCGUGAGUGACGGUAAUGGGUAAAGAAGCACCGGCUAACUACGUG